ensembl:lncRNA
CACCUCCUCCCGCUGCUGCUCCGCGUCGGCUCCGGGGCGGCCAACUUAAUCAAGCCCGCAGCAGCAGCGGCAGCAGCAGGAGCCACCAGCGGAGCCCCGUCGCUGCUGCCUGGCGCUCGUGCGUGUCUCUCACAGUCCGGCACCGGGGAGCGAAAGAGUAUCAACGAGAGUCCGAAAAUCCAGCAUCCAAAAGAGCCAGGUCCGCGCCUGCCUCCUCCUGCCAGCGCCGCCUCUCCUCCGCGCUGCUCUGCUCCGCUCUGCUCUUCUCCUCUUCUUCUCCUUCCUGCGGCGGCGACGGCUGCUGCUGCUGCUGCUCCCGGGCGCGCUCUCUGUUCCCGAGCUGCUGCUCCGUUUCCCCUCCUCCUCCUCCUCCUCCCUCUCACUCACUCUCUCUCUCUUUCUCCCUCUCUCUCCCUCUCCUUCUUCCUUCCCUCUUCGCUCUUUUUUCCCCCUUCCUCCUUUCCUUUCCUUUUUUUUCUUUUUAGCACAUUCCUUUGCUACAAAUAAAAGCGAGGUGUUCAAGCCUCCCGCCCCCCUUCCCACAAAAAGUGCAGUGCAAACAAAAGCGAAGAAAGAGGGCAGGGGGUGGGCGGAGUGGGAGGGCAGAGGCACGGGAAAAAUCACCAGAAACGGUCCCCGAGAGUCGAAACACGAGCAACCCUCCUUCCGCUCCUCCUCGCCCCUCGGGGAGAGAAGGGGGACGCCGUGGGGACGAUGGGGACGGCGCUCCCCGUUUCGUGGCCACUUUCAGAGUCCUCAUGGAGGCUAUGGACCAGCAGUGCAAGUCUGAUGGGAAGCGCAGGAUGUGAAUGCAGUCUGGAUUCAAAAUGUAACCUUCAUGGGAAGAAGAUACCACUAAAUUUUAAGGACAGCAGUGGACAGCUAAGACUAGAAUCUCGGAAAUAUUUUCUAAUAUCAGAAGAAGAAAAUGGAAUCCACUAAAGGAAAACCAACAGCCGGAUGACAGCUUGCUAGUUCACAUCUUUUACAACAGCAAAACAAAAAUUAGACACCGUGCAUUACUUAGUGUUUGUGAUUAUUUAAUGGGUGCUCUAAAUGCAUUAGGGAGACUAAAGCACCAUUUUGCACACAGAGGUCAGAGAUCACAGUCUGUAUAACACUACUUGAUCAAAAUCUUGAUACACUACUUCAUGUAAAUACUCAUAAGUAGCAGAAUUCAUGUAUUUAAAAACUCAUGAAGAUACUAAUACUGUAACUCAUUCACAGAACUGAAAGAUUUUGUUAAUAUUUCACUUGAACACUGACUUAUAGUUCCUAAGGAGACACUGCUGGGUAGUUUACACAUCUUCUUUUAUAUAAAAGUAUCCAAAAAUGCUUUCUAGAAAACAGGAUCUCACAAACUAACAACAACUGGUCCAAAUGAAGUCUCAUCAAUAUGAAUGUUUGUUCCCUUCUGCAAAAUUUCAGGGAGAUUCAGAUCACAACAUCUUAUAUGGCAGUGCUAUGCUGUCAGGGGGCUGAACAGGAUAUAGAGGGAGGAAAAUGAAAAGUCUUAGUUUAUUUCCCAGCCUUGAACCUUUUCCUUCUUGAAUAUAGGAGUGUUAUGGAAGAAGCUACUCAGUCAUCUGAGGGAGGGAGUGUUGCUCCAUCCUUCUCAUGUUGCCUUCUUUCUACACGUAAAUCAAGAGGCACAGACAAGAACUGGGAGGCAAGAAAUGGAUUGUCCCAGCAGAGGUGCUGCAUUAGGAAACCUUGCAAGACAGAAUGUGAAAAGGGAAAAUAAAAAUAUAAAAUUGUUUUCA